rnacentral:rRNA from 1 species
UGGGGAAUAUUGGACAAUGGGCGAAAGCCUGAUCCAGCAAUGCCGCGUGAGUGAUGAAGGCCUUAGGGUUGUAAAGCUCUUUUACCCGGGAUGAUAAUAACAGUACCGGGAGAAUAAGCUCCGGCUAACUCCGUGCCAGCAGCCGCGGUAAUACGGAGGGAGCUAGCGUUGUUCGGAAUUACUGGGCGUAAAGCGCGCGUAGGCGGUUACUCAAGUCAGAGGUGAAAGCCCGGGGCUCAACCCCGGAACUGCCUUUGAAACUAGGUGACUAGAAUCUUGGAGAGGUCAGUGGAAUUCCGAGUGUAGAGGUGAAAUUCGUAGAUAUUCGGAAGAACACCAGUGGCGAAGGCGACUGACUGGACAAGUAUUGACGCUGAGGUGCGAAAGCGUGGGGAGCAAACA